GUUAGGGCUACAAACAUCAACAUUUCAACAUUAAGCCUUUCCUUUAAAGUUAACCUCUUAACAUCCACCUCAUUUUGGGUAAUCCUGACAUAUUUUGCAUACCAAAUGCAAAAGGAAAUAACUUAGGAACUGCAAAAUUGGUACAGGACGGUGGACAUUGAGACACAGCAGCCAGGCAGCGACCAGCCGCUGCUGCUCCAUGUCUACAGCGUUCACAUACAGGAAGCGGCUGCCGGCCUGCCAUGGUUGGACUCUUAGUUGGAGCUCCUGCACAGCUGCAGGAGGCAAAACAAACACACCGGCUGGGUCCACCUACAAAAGAGAAGCCAGCAAGGAGGAAGAUCGCCAGAAAAAAAAAAAAAAACAUGUAUAAGGAGAUACGGAAAUGUUUAUUAAGG